GGAAAAAAAUGAGGAAAAAGCAAAAAAAAAAAAAAAGGGAAAAUAGCCAAAAAAUUCGGAUCGGUGUGUGGAGAGUUUUGUGGAUGAGCGGCUUCGGGAGAGAGGCCAUGACUACGUGCAGUUAGUGAAGCAGUAGCUGAAAACUGCAGAGUGCAGCAAUAGCGGAUGUAGCAACAAUAUCACACGUCCUUGGGUGAGCUGGUUCCCAGCAGCAGAACGGUCAGCAAAGAGAUAAGUGUAAGGGAAAACAAAGCAAGCAGAGAAAGCCCCAAAGGCGAGCUUGACCUGUUCUAGAGACACCAAUGAGGAGCCUAAGUUUUGCAAUAUAUAUAUAAUAUAUAAUGGGUAUAACUGUACAUGCGUGCUUAGAAUAAACCGAAACUUGUUGACGUUAUAGAAUGGGCUUGUCUCCCGUCAUUUUUACACAAAAAUGGUGACCUCGACGUGAUAGGCGCCACGGUGGAGUGAGGAAAAAGAGUUCAGUGCUGAAUUGAAAUAGAGUGCACCGUGCCCCAGGUGACUGCAGAGGCAAGCCUGGCCGAUACGUGCUGCCGACGACCUCGGAGGGCUGCAACAGCGCUGACAAUAGAGAUGUCGUGGAUGUGCUGGCUGUUCUGAUGGAGGGCAGUGGUGGCUUAGAUGAAGAAAUUUGGUUCUCUUAAAUGUUGUCCCUGCUGCAUUAGAAGCCAGGAAUAUGCUUUGCUUCAGUCUGAAAACGGAACAGGAGCAGAUGAUGUGGAGUACCUUGGUGCUGUUUUCACUGGCCUCCUGCACUCUCUGAGAGAACCCCUUGCUCCCUGCGUGACGUUCCAGCUCUGUGACAAAGCUGCUAAGUAUCCUCAGCUCUACCAGUUUAACCUAUACUGUAGACUCUGGAUGCCCAAGCAGUCCCAGGAACCUGUGGUAUGGAAUCCCUGAAGUCACUGAAUUCUUGAGCCAGUAUUCCUAUAAAAUCCUCGCAGUCGACAUAGGUUACAUUUCCAUCAGAAACAGCGUUUUUAUUGAGGAGGUAAUUCUGCAUCUCUUGUUGAUCGUGCUGGGGACACACGUUUGCUCCAGGGCUUUUCUCUGAUGGCACAAGAGGUCUCUGUGGUGUUUGGGAGGCGAUGCCAGGGCUCAGGGCUCAUACAGAGACUCCUCACCGGGCACAGCAGAGCCUGGUGUGCACUCUGGCCUCUGUUUACAGCGCCCGGAGUUCCCCCAGGUGGGUGGAGGAUCACAGGCCCCUGGGCUGGGUUUGGUGAGUUUUUCUCAUCUCAGCAGUGUGAACACUCCAGAUGCCCCUGGGGACACUGCUGGGCAGCUCUGUUCUAGCAGGACUUGCACGCCUGUGCUCCCAGAGCUUCAGUUCAGAGCUCAUCUCAAAACAAAGGUGGCUGAAGAGAUUUUUGUUUCAUGCUCAUCACUGUUUUUCUCUUAUGCUUUUUGUUUCGCUUUAAACAGUUUGAAAACCACAAGGAGGUAAGCCAAGGGCCUCCUGUGGCACCGGAUUCUGAAUUUGCCACUUUGCUGAAGGGAGCCUGGGAGAGAGGAAGCAGUACCUUCCUGGAAGAUGGUGUUCAGACAAAGUGGAGAGACUUGGCUUCCCGGCUCCCCCCACCUGAGCAGCUUUUGUUGGGAGUAAAGCACGUGCUGCUGUACCCGAAAUCCACAGUAGAGAACUUCAGCAGAUAAUACUGCAGUUAUGCUUGGUGUACUUUAUGGCACAAGUUACAAAUGACUUGACUGCUAAAACUUAGGUUCCAGUGCUGUAGCUCUUUUUCCUCGACUCGGCUCCAAGGCUAUGCAGCACCAUACAAAACUGCACCUAAUUUGUAAACAAACGUCAGUUUAUUCUGAUUAUUGAAGCCGGGCUUUAUUCAGUUGAAUUUCGGGUGUGUGCUGCGCCCAGGUCCUUUGUACAAAUAGGGUAUGGAGGGUGGGGGAACCAGAACUGCACAUUCCUUGUGAUAUGUAUGGGAUUUUGGGGGGGUUAAAUAAAAAGGAGAUGCAAAAUGAGGGAAUUGCUUUU
ensembl:lncRNA